AGCUGGGUGAGGAAAGCUGGAGUUUGUUGGUUGUGUUGUGAAGAGAGUUGGAAUUUGUUGGUUGUUUUGUGAAGAAGCAGGAGUCAGUGCUGUGAGGAGCUGCACAUGAGAAAUCACUGAGAAGAAUAAGACAAGAGAAAUGGCUUCUGUAAGAUACCUUCAUGAUUAAAGGGCCUCCUACCAGGUAAAGUUUCAAGAACAGAAACACCAACCUGCAUAAAAAGCAAUUAGGACUACUCUGUGAAAAUACACACAUCUUGGAAAAUCUCAUUUUAAUGUGUAAAGAAACUGUCAUUUGAGCUGUUCACAGACCCAUGACUCUGGCUGUUUUGCUGUUGGCACAUCACUUACUCAUGGUAGUUUUCUUUUGGAAAGACCAAAGGUACAAAGACUAAAGGUACAGUAUUCCAUGGCAGUGUCAUGGUGUGGCACAGGUUUUGGAACAGGGCCUGCAACCCUCACCUGGAGAAACAGCA